UCGAGCGCCGUAGCAAUACGGAGCGGCAGACGGGAGAGUAACACGUGGGAACGUACCCUUCAGUUCGGAACAACCCAGGGAAACUUGGGCUGAUACCGGAUACGUCCGCAAGGAGAAAGAUUUAUCGCUGAAGGAUCGGCCCGCGUCUGAUUAGCUUGUUGGUGAGGUAACGGCUCACCAAGGCGACGAUCAGUAGCUGGUCUGAGAGGAUGAUCAGCCUCACUGGGACUGAGACACGGCCCAGACUCCUACGGGAGGCAGCAGUGGGGAAUAUUGGACAAUGGGCGCAAGCCUGAUCCAGCCAUGCCGCGUGGGUGAUGAAGGCCCUAGGGUUGUAAAGCCCUUUCGGCGGGGAAGAUAAUGACGGUACCCGCAGAAGAAGCCCCGGCUAACUUCGUG
rnacentral:rRNA from 1 species